GACGAACGCUGGCGGCGUGCUUAACACAUGCAAGUCGAACGGAAAGGCCCUGCUUUUGUGGGGUGCUCGAGUGGCGAACGGGUGAGUAACACGUGAGUAACCUGCCCUUGACUUUGGGAUAACUUCAGGAAACUGGGGCUAAUACCGGAUAGGAGCUCCUGCUGCAUUGUGGGGGUUGGAAAGUUUCGGCGGUUGGGGAUGGACUCGCGGCUUAUCAGCUUGUUGGUGGGGUAGUGGCUUACCAAGGCUUUGACGGGUAGCCGGCCUGAGAGGGUGACCGGCCACAUUGGGACUGAGAUACGGCCCAGACUCCUACGGGAGGCAGCAGUGGGGAAUAUUGCGCAAUGGGCGGAAGCCUGAUGCAGCAACGCCGCGUGCGGGAUGACGGCCUUCGGGUUGUAAACCGCUUUCGCCUGUGACGAAGCGUGAGUGACGGUAAUGGGUAAAGAAGCACCGGCUAACUACGUG
rnacentral:rRNA from 1 species